rnacentral:rRNA from 1 species
UACGUAGGGUCCGAGCGUUGUCCGGAAUUAUUGGGCGUAAAGGGCUCGUAGGCGGUUUGUCGCGUCGGGAGUGAAAACACCGGGCUUAACUCGGUGCUUGCUUUCGAUACGGGCAUGACUGGAGUUCGGCAGGGGAGACUGGAAUUCCUGGUGUAGCGGUGGAAUGCGCAGAUAUCAGGAGGAACACCGAUGGCGAAGGCAGAUCUCUGGGCCGUAACUGACGCUGAGGAGCGAAAGCGUGGGGAGCGAACAGG